GCCUUCCAAAAUCUGCCUGGACCAUUUUUUCAAUGCUCUCAAAUCAACGUGCUUAUGUUUUUUCCGGUACUGCCGCAAUGUCCCAGAAGUGAAAAUCUCAGUGAUGAAGUUGAUAGUCUCAAUUUUGGUGUCGACCCACGAAUUAUAAAAUUUGAUGAUGUUUUUGUGUUUCAAAGUCUUAAGCAAAUGAACUUCAGAAUACAGACGCUCCAAAUCAGCAGCAUCACGCACAAGUUCCGCGACCUUAACCUGAUUCCAAGCUACUUCUAUUCCUUCCAAUUCAUCAAAUGCUCUGUAUACUUUUUUGAAAGCCCCUCUCCCUAGAACCUCCUUAUACCGACCAUAUCGACCGGUAGGGUCAAUCUCCACGAACUCAGCAUCGGAAUCAUCAGGAUCUUGCUC
rnacentral:misc_RNA from 1 species